AGAGUUUGAUCAUGGCUCAGAUUGAACGCUGGCGGCAGGCCUAACACAUGCAAGUCGAACGGUAACAGGAAGCAGCUUGCUGCUUUGCUGACGAGUGGCGGACGGGUGAGUAAUGUCUGGGAAACUGCCUGAUGGAGGGGGAUAACUACUGGAAACGGUAGCUAAUACCGCAUAACGUCGCAAGACCAAAGAGGGGGACCUUCGGGCCUCUUGCCAUCGGAUGUGCCCAGAUGGGAUUAGCUAGUAGGUGGGGUAACGGCUCACCUAGGCGACGAUCCCUAGCUGGUCUGAGAGGAUGACCAGCCACACUGGAACUGAGACACGGUCCAGACUCCUACGGGAGGCAGCAGUGGGGAAUAUUGCACAAUGGGCGCAAGCCUGAUGCAGCCAUGCCGCGUGUAUGAAGAAGGCCUUCGGGUUGUAAAGUACUUUCAGCGGGGAGGAAGGGAGUAAAGUUAAUACCUUUGCUCAUUGACGUUACCCGCAGAAGAAGCACCGGCUAACUCCGUGCCAGCAGCCGCGGUAAUACGGAGGGUGCAAGCGUUAAUCGGAAUUACUGGGCGUAAAGCGCACGCAGGCGGUUUGUUAAGUCAGAUGUGAAACACACGCAGGCGGUUUGUUAAGUCAGAUGUGAAAUCCCCGGGCUCAACCUGGGAACUGCAUCUGAUACUGGCAAGCUUGAGUCUCGUAGAGGGGGGUAGAAUUCCAGGUGUAGCGGUGAAAUGCGUAGAGAUCUGGAGGAAUACCGGUGGCGAAGGCGGCCCCCUGGACGAAGACUGACGCUCAGGUGCGAAAGCGUGGGGAGCAAACAGGAUUAGAUACCCUGGUAGUCCACGCCGUAAACGAUGUCGACUUGGAGGUUGUGCCCUUGAGGCGUGGCUUCCGGAGCUAACGCGUUAAGUCGACCGCCUGGGGAGUACGGCCGCAAGGUUAAAACUUAAAACUCAAAUGAAUUGACGGGGGCCCGCACAAGCGGUGGAGCAUGUGGUUUAAUUCGAUGCAACGCGAAGAACCUUACCUGGUCUUGACAUCCACGGAAGUUUUCAGAGAUGAGAAUGUGCCUUCGGGAACCGUGAGACAGGUGCUGCAUGGCUGUCGUCAGCUCGUGUUGUGAAAUGGCUGUCGUCAGCUCGUGUUGUGAAAUGUUGGGUUAAGUCCCGCAACGAGCGCAACCCUUAUCCUUUGUUGCCAGCGGUCCGGCCGGGAACUCAAAGGAGACUGCCAGUGAUAAACUGGAGGAAGGUGGGGAUGACGUCAAGUCAUCAUGGCCCUUACGACCAGGGCUACACACGUGCUACAAUGGCGCAUACAAAGAGAAGCGACCUCGCGAGAGCAAGCGGACCUCAUAAAGUGCGUCGUAGUCCGGAUUGGAGUCUGCAACUCGACUCCAUGAAGUCGGAAUCGCUAGUAAUCGUGGAUCAGAAUGCCACGGUGAAUACGUUCCCGGGCCUUGUACACACCGCCCGUCACACCAUGGGAGUGGGUUGCAAAAGAAGUAGGUAGCUUAACCUUCGGGAGGGCGCUUACCACUUUGUGAUUCAUGACUGGGGUGAAGUCGUAACAAGGUAACCGUAGGGGAACCUGCGGUUG
rnacentral:rRNA from 1 species